rnacentral:ncRNA from 1 species
GUAAAGAACAAGUGGCACGUUCCAGUGACUUUCUCGAUGGGCAACUGACCUUUCGCGAACGCCUGCUGGUGCGUCAUCACCUGAUGUUCUGUCCGAACUGCCGCCGGUUUAUUCGUCAGAUGCGCCUGAUGCAGGCGACGCUGAAGAUCAUGCCGCAGGAUCCGGUGAAGGAUGU